UACGGAGGAUGCAAGCGUUAUCCGGAAUGAUUGGGCGUAAAGCGUCCGCAGGUGGCUGUGUAAGUCUGCUGUUAAAGAGUGAGGCUCAACCUCAUAAAAGCAGUGGAAACUACACGGCUAGAGUGCGUUCGGGGCAGAGGGAAUUCCUGGUGUAGCGGUGAAAUGCGUAGAUAUCGGGAGGAACACCCGUAGCGAAGGCGGCACUCUGGGCCGGAACUGACGCUGAGGAGCGAAAGCGUGGGGAGCAAACAGG
rnacentral:rRNA from 1 species